CAGUAGCCACGGUAAAACGAAGGGUGCAAGCGUUAAUCGGAAUUACUGGGCUUAAAGCGCGCGUAGGUGGUUUGGUAAGAUGGAUGUGAAAUCCCCGGGCUCAACCUGGGAACUGCAUCCAUAACUGCCUGACUAGAGUACGGUAGAGGGUGGUGGAAUUUCCUGUGUAGCGGUGAAAUGCGUAGAUAUAGGAAGGAACACCAGUGGCGAAGGCGACCACCUGGACUGAUACUGACACUGAGGUGCGAAAGCGUGGGGAGCAAACAGGAUUAGAUACCCCGGUAGUCCCUGUCUCUUAUAC
rnacentral:rRNA from 1 species